GAGUGGCGCACGGGUGCGUAACGCGUGGGAAUGUACACCUUGGUAAGGAAUAACUGCUGGAAACGGUAGCUAAUACCUUAUAAUGACUCCGGUCCAAAGAUUUAUCGCCAAGGAAUCAGCCCGCGUUAGAUUAGUUUGUUGGUGGGGUAACGGCCUACCAAGACUACGAUCUAUAGGGGUUCUGAGAGGAUGAUCCCCCACACUGGUACUGAGACACGGACCAGACUCCUACGGGAGGCAGCAGUGAGGAAUAUUGGACAAUGGGCGCAAGCCUGAUCCAGCCAUGCCGCGUGUAUGAAGAAGGCCUUAGGGUUGUAAAGUACUUUCAAACGUGAAGAUAAUGACGGUAGCGUUAGAAGAAGCUCCGGCUAAAUUCGUGCCAGCAGCCGCGGUAAUACGAAUGGAGCAAGUGUUGUUCGGAAUCACUGGGCUUAAAGCGUAUGUAGGCGGAAAUGAAAGUCAGGAGUGAAAUCCCGGGGCUCAACCCCGGAACUGCUUCUGAAACUUCAUUUCUAGAAUCCUGGAGAGGUUGGGAGAAUUCCUAGUGUAGAGGUGAAAUUCGCAGAUAUUAGGAGGAAUACCAGUGGCGUAGGCGCCCAACUGGACAGGUAUUGACGCUCAGAUACGAAAGCGUGGGGAGCAAACAGGAUUAGAUACCCUGGUAGUCCACGCCGUAAACUAUGUGUGCUAGUUGUCGGAAUCUUAAGGUUUCGGUGACGGAGCGAAAGUUUUAAGCACACCGCCUGGGAGUACGGCCGCAAGG
rnacentral:rRNA from 1 species